rnacentral:misc_RNA from 1 species
GAAAUGCGAUAAGCAAUGUGAAUUGCAGAAUUCAGUGAAUCAUCGAAUCUUUGAACGCACAUUGCGCCCGCCAGCACUCUGGCGGGCAUGCCUGUUCGAGCGUCAUUUCAACCCUCAGAACCCCUUGCGGGAUCUGGCGUUGGGGAUUGGCAUCCAGCCAGCCCCGAAAUCUAGUGGCGGUCCCUCCGCGACCUCCCCUGUGCAGUAGCGAUACCUCGCAGCGGGACAGCGGUCUGACCACGCCGUAAAACCCCCAACUUCUCAAGGUUGACCUCGAAUCAGGUAGGAAUACCCGCUGAACUUAAGC